GUCUUAUUUGUAAUGUCUGUUUUAGGUAUUUAAAUUUGCUUAAAUUGCAGCUACAAAAUUAUUUAUUUUUAUAACCACACUGUGUAAAAGCUGCGCACGUGACAUUGGCGGAAUAGUGUGCCCUCAGUGGCGAAAAAACGCAAGUUCAUCGCCAUAAACCAAAGAAGAAGAAGAAGAAAAUUAACAAAUAUUUUCGACUAAUAAAUUGUUGUGAUACCACGAUUUGGGUGGAAAAAAGGUUUUGAAAUCAUUUUGGUCAUUAAAAUCAAAUGAGAUCGAAAUGAGUAUUGUUUUGAAGACCGGGUUUGUGAGUGUUACAAUAACAAAUUCCAACCACAAACCGUAUUUAAAGGAAAGCUGUUGGUAUUGGCUGGACAAGUCCGAGAUGUAGAAGAAUUAAGAACAAAACAAGGGCAGAGUUCAAUAAUUCACGCUCUCAUCAUAAGGCAAACAUCUGUGCACAACAACUACUGUGACUCAUUUUUGUACUACCACGUUGUAUAGUCUAGUUAUUUCCAAAUUGUAAACGGCUAUUAAACCAGCCCUAUCGAAAUACAGUCCACUCUUUUAUUUAAGUUCCCAGUAGGACCCUUUUCAUGCGAUUGAUUAAUGAUAUUAAAAUCAUGGACCUAUAAAAAAAGUCGGACGGAUUCUCAUCAACAAAAUACUGUGACAUUAGGAUAUACCAGCUCGCCUGUACGUACAGGCCGGCACGCACACAUUCAUACCCUGAUACACCACUUCGAGUGCAAACUUCACACAGUUGACACAUUUACGCGGCGAAAAAAAAAACACAAAUACGACAUGUCUUGCGUGGUGAAAUUGUGUAAAAACCGUUCUGAUCGAACGAACAAAAAUCAAGGAAUCACAUUUCACAGGUAAACUAAUAAUACCUAAUCUAAUCACUUAUUUCCCCGAUUUUAUAAACAUUAAAAUAUUAAAAUCAAACGUCAAUCACCCGACAAAAUAAUACGUCAAAGGCCAGUGUUCUCAGUUAUUUACGUGGGAAAAUUACCCGAAAAGUGGGAAAUCUAUAAUUUUAAGACUUUUUAGGUGUUUAUUACGCAUACUAUUGAAAUAAAAUAAUUUAUCAUAAUAACUGUGUUUUAAUGGGAUAUAUUUUCGUAGGCAGAUUUGAUCCUUCCCUAGGGCGUAGAACUGCGAAAUUCAAAUUUUCUUAUAUUUUUGCAAGUCAGUGUCAGGUUGUAUGUUAAAAUCUAUCAGAGAUAAUAAUAUUGAUGAUACAUAAGAUUAUGAUUACGUAGGUACACAAGAUUGAUCAUUUGUAACUGCGUGAAUCGUACCUGACACUGACUUGCAAACAAAGUAAGAAAAUAUGAAAAUUUCGCGUCUACCUCAACGUAUUCAUCUUUCAUCCUUUUCAAAUGGCACGAUAUAAUUUCGUCUACAUUUCCAAGUAACAUAUCUGCCCAUCUAUGUUUUUCUUAAGAUAAAUGGGUAAAAUGUUUUGGCUAACAUGGCAUCCCUAAAUUCACUCACACAAUAGACAAACGCCAAAAUUUUGCGUCACAGUUUUGUUGUAGCGCGAGUUCCGUCCGCCUUUUUUUAUAGGUCCAUGAUUAAAAUGUAUUAA